GCAAUCUUUGUCGAAUAAGUAUAUUUGACGGCUCUAGUGAAUGGCACUGUGUAAGGUCCAUUGCGAGUACCAUUCUAAAAUCUGAUACCUUAAUUUUUGUUUUUGUUGCUUGUUUAUAGAGUAUCAUCGCGUUUGAAAUUGAUGUAUUUAACAAUAACUCUAAAGCUAAUUUUAUAUACCACUUGAGGGUUCUUCUAUGUGGCGUAGAAUAUGCUAUCAGUUGAUCUGAUAAAUCUACAGCACAUUUCCUCUGUUGUAAUCUACCACUACCAUUGGUUUA
rnacentral:misc_RNA from 1 species